GUGGCGGACGGGUGAGUAACACGCAGGCAAUCUGCCUUUCAGAGGGAAAUAACUAAAAGAAAUUUUAGCUAAUGUCCCAUAAGACCACACUAUGGCAUCAUAGAGGGGUCAAAGGAGUAAUCCGCUGAAAGAUGAGCCUACGUCUGAUUAGUUAGUUGGUGUGGUAAUGGCAUACCAAGACUAUGAUCAGUAGCCGAGCUGAGAGGCUGGCCGGCCACAUUGGGACUGAGAUACGGCCCAAACUCCUACGGGAGGCAGCAGUUGGGAAUAUUGGACAAUGGAGGAAACUCUGAUCCAGUGACGCCGCGUGAAGGAAGAAGGUCUUCGGAUUGUAAACUUAUUUUGUCAGGGAAGAAUAAAAUGACAGUACCUGAAGAAGAAGGACCGGCAAACUACGUGCCAGCAGCCGCGGUAAUACGUAGGGUCCAAGCGUUAUCCGGAUUUACUGGGUGUAAAGGGCGAGUAGACGGCGUUACAAGUCAGAUGUGAAAACUUGGGGCUCAACCCCAAGACUGCAUCUGAAACUGUAAUGCUAGAGUGCAGGAGAGGUAAGUGGAAUUCCUAGUGUAGCGGUGAAAUGCGUAGAUAUUAGGAGGAACACCAGUGGCGAAGGCGACUUACUGGACUGUAACUGACGUUGAGGCGCGAAAGUGUGGGGAGCAAACAGGAUUAGAUACCCUGGUAGUCCACACUGUAAACGAUGGAUACUAGGUGUGGGCAUUAACGUGUCCGUGCCGGCGCAAACGCAAUAAGUAUCCCACCUGGGG
rnacentral:rRNA from 1 species